UGCCGGCGUGCAUGUCUGUGCGCAGUGUGCAUGGCCAGGUGCCGGCGUGCAUGUCUGUGCGCAGUGUGCAUGGCCAGGUGCCGGCGUGCAUGUCUGUGCGCAGUGUGCAUGGCCAGGUGCCGGCGUGCAUGUCUGUGCGCAGUGUGCAUGGCCAGGUGCCGGCGUGCAUGUCUGUGCGCAGUGUGCAUGGCCAGGUGCCGGCGUGCAUGUCUGUGCGCAGUGUGCAUGGCCAGGUGCCGGCGUGCAUGUCUGUGCGCAGUGUGCAUGGCCAGGUGCCGGCGUGCAUGUCUGUGCGCAGUGUGCAUGGCCAGGUGCCGGCGUGCAUGUCUGUGCGCAGUGUGCAUGGCCAGGUGCUCGCGUUCGGAGUUGAACCCGGCUCCUCAGCCAGCGCUGGGCCGUCGCUCAGGAACCCCGGUCGGGCAGCCCAGGCUGACCUCCAGCUUGUGGGGCUCCUGCCUUCACCUCCCACGUGCUGGAGCUGCGC